rnacentral:lncRNA from 1 species
CGGGGGUCCCGGGUCCGGGGUUGCGCCGGGAGGGUACUGGCCAGGCCCGACUUCAAGCAGGGAGGUGGCCCGGGACUGGCUCCCGCGCUGGUCACGCACCGGGGUCCGUCAUCUCGACCGGGAGUCGCUGUGCCACUCUAGGGGCUUAAAAAUGCCGCCAACAACUUUACCCCUGCUGAGGAACUUCUCGCUUCGUUUCUUAGCCAGUUUUCCAGGCCUUCUCCCUUGAGAGUCUCCUUCCGCUCGCCCACCCUGAGCGUAGGAGGUGGGAGCAGGACGGAACUGGAGUGGAUUCCAGUAACUGGACUUCUAAACCGGCUCGGUGUCGUCGCGCUCUGUAGCGGACGCUUGUGCUGGGAAGCGUUUUGCAGUUUAUAAAUUACUUAGGAGUACUUUAAACAUCUCACGCCUGCUGUACCACAGCCAUGUGGGGGUAUUCAGAACAGGUUUACACUGUUUAUUUAUGACAAACAUUCCAUAUCCAUGAUUCUCUCCUGUCAAACAUGUUUUCAGAUGAUGCCACUGGCCUUGGCCAAUCAGAGAAUGUAGUCAUCUGACUCACCCAUCCUGCAAAUGACCUUGCAGACAGCAUACGUUUUAAACUAGCCAUUAAACCUGCCUGUGACCUUGUCAGCCUCCACCACGUUCAUCUGGAUGGAUGCAUGGUUCUUGGCACCGGUGACGCGGUUACUAGCAGAGACUUUCUGCCGCAUGUACAGGUCCACAAGCUCGCCGCUGUCCUUCUGCAUCUCAAGACUGUGCCUG